rnacentral:lncRNA from 1 species
CAGAGAAGUAUGCUAGCGUUGGUGCCCGGGGCUGUUUGUGAUGAGAAUGGAGCCCCGCGUGAUUCUGUUGCCUCCCAAGAGUAGGAAUUAAGUCUGUUUGCUAGGUCUGGAUGAGUACUUGUUUAAUCCUGAAAACGAAAUGUUUCUACUGUUUCAAUCCCUGAGGUUUGGAUUGCUUGUUGUAAUCCUGAGGUUUUGCAUGGAAUUAAGUCUGUUUGUUAUGUGUGGAUGAGUACUUGCUUAAUCCUGAGAAUGAAAUGUUUCUACUGUUUGAAUCCCUGAGUUUAAGCAUGGAUUUCUUGUUGUAAUCCUGAGGUUUUGCAUGGAAUUAAGUCUGUUUGCUAUGUGUUGAUGAGCACUUGCUUAAUCCUGAGAAUGAAUUGUUUCUACUGUUUGAAUCCCUGAGUUUAAGCAUGGAUUUCUUGUUGUAAUCCUGAGUUUAAGCAUGAAUUAAGU